rnacentral:rRNA from 1 species
CAGGACGAACGCUGGCGGCGUGCCUAACACAUGCAAGUCGAGCGGGGACAUGCGACGGAUAGGAAGUUUCGGAUGGACUUGAAGAUGCAUUGUUCUAGCGGCGGACGGGUGAGUAACGCGUGAGCAACCUGUCCCUUACAGGGGGAUAACACAGCGAAAGUUGUACUAAUACCGCAUAAGACCACGGGAGGACAUCCUUCAGGGGUCAAAGGAGGAAUCCGGUAAGGGGUGGGCUCGCGUCCGAUUAGAUAGUUGGUGAGGUAACGGCCCACCAAGUCGACGAUCGGUAGCCGACCUGAGAGGGUGAUCGGCCACAUUGGGACUGAGACACGGCCCAAACUCCUACGGGAGGCAGCAGUGGGGAAUAUUGGGCAAUGGGGGGAACCCUGACCCAGCAACGCCGCGUGAGGGAAGAAGGUUUUCGGAUCGUAAACCUCUGUCCUUGGUGAAGAGGAAGAGACGGUAGCCAAGGAGGAAGCCCCGGCUAACUACGUGCCAGCCGCCGC